UCAGUCACGGAUCGAGCCCGGUUGCGUUCGGUAGCUGCGGUUCGCCGAACGGUAACGCGAUCCCUCGGGUACCAGCUUUUAAUAUCUCUUCACGGUUUUCGGGCACUGACUCUCAAACACUUUAGAAACCACGGUUUUUAUUGACGAUUACCGCGGCUCACGAGUAUCGUCGACUUUUCACUCAUCGACUUCGGAUCGUUUGCAAUCGAACGAGAUUUCACGUUAACGUUCGGACGAAGAAUCAUACGAUUUCGAGAUGAGAGGAGGGUCGGAACGGAUUUAAUUGGAGAAGGCGCUAUUGACAAGUGGAGAGAACGUUUCAGCGGACGAGGGCCCUCGGCACGUUUUGACUCGGAGCGUCGAGAAGAGACUGGCGAACGCCUUUCUGGCUCCGGCUGGGACAUCGCUGGGCAUCCCUUUCCACCAACGACGGGGCUUCCUUACUGGUCUCAAGGAGAGACCGAGGUACCUUUACUCUUGAUAGGUUACCUUUGAGUUAACUCGAUAGGAUCGUAAACGUGCGCGUGCAUAUAAAUCACUCCCUCGAUCUCGAAAACAUCUACGAUUUUCGGACUCGACACUUUGCUCCCUCCUAAAAAUCUUCUACGCUCAUGCAUGCAAUUUGCUAUCGGUAAACAUUUUGAAAUAAAUGUCUGAUUGUUAAAAAACGAUUCUUGUUCUAUUUACUUAUUUUCGUUUCGCGCUGUCCAAACGCGAGCCACUGCGAUAUUGAUAUAUAUCGACGUAUCGAUUGUAACAAUUAUCGUCGAUAGAGCGAGUUCGCUUCGUCGGUGAUGGAAGUGACACCGGUGGUUCGCUACGUGCAUCGGUCAGUUUACGAGAUUAGUUUAAUGAAGGGUGCCUCACGCAGGAUUGCACGGUGGAAACCGUAACCGGAGUUACACGUUCCAUGCCGACCUUGCGUCUCGUUCCUGACCCGUGCCUUCUUUUUCGCGAUCCUACGCGGCUACUCUUAUCGAACGAUUCAUCUCAGUCGUGUCGCGAUUUCGCCAGUUAACCUCACCAAAUCCGAGGGACCGGAGAGACGCGGCCUCUGCGCGCCAAAACAUAUUUCCGGGAAGCUGUCGGCAGGCCUUUGCACUCCACCGUAAGCAUGCAUAUUACUUGGUAUCUUUUAUCGCAUACGGUAUCUCGGUCUCAAAGGGAAUGCUCGUUUUUCUAUGGUUCUGUCAUUUCGAUACAAAAGAGAGGCUCAAGUUAUCUGUCAAAUAUACAUAUGUACAAAUAGGGUUACUCUCGACGAUCGUGAACAUAGUUGCUCAAAAAAUGCAUGUGGCGCCACGGCAAUUUCCGGUUUAGUCUUGACCAGUAUGUCCAGUGUGGAGCAACAAUUUUCGUUUACGUUUUUCUGAGAACGUUUCUGUGUUAAGUGCAGAGUGACUGACGAGAGGAAGGAGCAGAGAGGAACCAUUGACUGGGAUCGGUGACAAAACGGAAGGAUCAGUCCCGGGUUUUUCUAUUAGGAGCUACCAAAGGCCAUCGGCGAUGCAUUAUUCAUCGGAUGCGACUACUGACCACGGGAACGAGGAAUUUCGAGGACCUGCACUAGUUUGAGACGUUGAGGACGAUCGAUAGAUCGGUAGGAACGGGACAUGAAUCGUUGGCAAACGUGGAGAGUUACGGACUGCGGGCCCGUGGCACGUUUUAACGGUAUAUUUCCGUCGCUGGGAGAUCUGGGUUGCUGGAGCGAGCAAAGUGCCGGGUGUGAUUUCGUUGCAGCAGAUAAACUUUGCAUUGCGAUUCUAUCUUUUCUUCUCACUGGAUGCAAACCAGGAACAAUCUAAUCUGGAUUUGUUGUAAAAGCCAGAGAUUAAUUUAUGAGUAUGAAUGACACAAUGAUGAUGCGUCUCGUAUUUUACUGACAAUGAGCGUCAAUUAUGUCAGUGCGUUUAAUUAUUCGGUGCCUGACCCCGGAAUCGUUGUUUCCCAUUGGCUCAUCGAGACUAGUUAACAUCAGAGAAAAUAUGUGUUUCUUGAACGAUGAAACAGUCGUUAUUCUCGUCAUGGAAUCAUCGCCUUCUAUGCGGUUUUACGUAAUAAUCGAGGAAAGUAUGCUCUGCUUCUAGUAUUAGACCAUCCUCGUCGACAAACAUUAGUUCGUGCCACUCAUGCUGGAAAACGGCUCUAAUAUCUUUCCGCAAACACGUAACUGUUCUAACAAUCGAUUUUCACUUGACUUCACGUUUCUAUUAUUUACGAGAAGGAGGGACUGUGAAAUAUGUAUGAUUGGAAAUAUUGAAGCAUCACGAGACGAUUGAAGAGACGAAAUAUUUAACUCAUAUUUAGAUCUCGUUUUUAUUCGUCGGUCGGGCUCUCUUUUAAUUAGAACUGAGUAACAGACUCACGGUGUUACGAGGUCGGAUUCGGUCGCGUAACGAGAACGGGUCUAGCAAUUACCAAUUCCGAUCGGCAGUUCUCAGGGUAAAUCGAACCUGGAACCGAUAAGCGAGCAACGGUGCACUCCGGGCUGCGUGCCAAGAAUUUCGCACGCUGCAACGCGGGCGUUACGUUCUCUGCUUCCGUUUAAAGUGUUUUCGGUGGCGCCCCGAAUUCAUUCAUUGUCCCUUUUCUCAACGCCAACCGGUCGUGGCCCGUGUACAGUUCCUAUUAUUUAUUCAACACAGACCCACGUACACGAGUCUCAUAUUUGUACACUGCAUUUUAUUAUUCAUUCAUAAAUUACUAUUAAAAUUCUAUCAUAAAUACUGAAUAAGAACGAAAGGAUAAAAGCCGUCUGAAUCUAUAUUUCAUAUUUGAAAUCGAUGUCAUAAAUAGUUUACUCAAUGACUCGCAGUCUAUGUAUCUGAUAUCUCUGUUGCAUUUUUAUAAUCACUGUUGUGGGAAAACGAAAAGGCAGCGCGUGGACUUUCGUGAAAGCGAACGUUUUUUUCGCGAAUCGCUCCACUGUCUCUGUCUACGAUCGAGAGAAAGAGAUUGCCGCCUCCGGCGACGACGGAGCAAAAGGUAUGCGGCAGGUGACUUUCCGAUCGGAGUCGGUAGGCGUUGCGCUCGAACGAGGACAACGAUCUCUGAGCAUCUCUUCAGAACUGUAUUAUCAUCUGCAUCUCAAUUUUCGAAUUUAUUCGCACGAUUCAUAUCGUCAUUUUUUGAUUGAUAUCGAUCGGUAUCUCAAUUAAUCGAACGAGCUUGGUAGGCUGAUCGUAUAACGGCCAUGUGACGUUCCUUAGAAUUAACUGACGUUAUAUCGUGAAUUCUUCCCAGAAUUCUCGAUCUAGUCAAAACAUGGUAGAAGCAAAACGAGCGUUUCCUCGAAAACGACUCGUUUUCAAGGGUCAGCGACCUCGGAAAUUUUGCGGGCAGGUAGGAAAGGGUGGUCGAAAGUGGCGAACGAGGUGGUUAGGAUAGAUAAAGAGGAGAAAGACGCUUGUUCCUCUUCCUCUGGCGAGAUAAAACGGUUCGAGGAACAGGUAAUAACGGUACCCACUCACGGCCCAUCUCCCCGGCCUCUGACUUUGAAUAUUUUCGGCGGCUCAAUAGGUUCGUCCUCGCGGUUCUUACGAGAGCCCGUCUUCGUUCAUUUCACACGUCCUAACGAGGUUUAAUUGAAUCGCCUGUCGCAACGCAUUGUAAUAACGCGUUGCGACAUUUUCCAUCGCGAUGUUAUUUAAAUCGUCUCACGCGUUCUUCCGAUCAGAUAAAAUCGCACUCUCGCUCCUUCGCGGUUCCUCGGUUCGUGAUCCGUUACGCCGUUUAAACGCGAGCGAGGCUCCUCGGUGCUGCUAAAUCUUCUGGAUCGAAUCUGGCAAAGUGGAUUUUCGCGUGCGUCGAUCGUCACCUUGUACCCAUGCACUUCGCAGCGUUCCGAAGUCCGGCAAGUGGCCACAACUAAACACGUGUGCCGCAAAUUCGCGUCUUCUUCGUCCUGACUCUUUUCCUGAGUCGCGCCGGUGAAAACCGAUCUGGUAUCAAUUAAAUUUUUGAACUCUCGUUUGUACAGGAUCUUCGAAAUUGUAUCGAUGAAAAGUCGAUGGGGAUUGGAAUUCGUGGAUCGAUCGUAGAGCAUCGACAAAGGUCGGCGACGAUUCCGAGUCGUGACGCGAAAAGGCACGUUCUUGAAACGUGGAAUCGAGGUCAGCCUUCUUGGUGAACGGAUCGCAGUUGCAUGGACACGGACUGAAACGCACACACUGAGCGACGUACUGGGAUGCAAAACGAGGAACAAAAUCGGGUAUACCUGUUCCGCGGGGUACGACGAUUCUCAAGAAUCUCGUCGUCGUGAGAUGGCUGCCUUAUUUGGUCGUGGCUGCUUUCUAAGCCACGUUCUAUGUAAAUUCAUUCAUCUCUCUCUACUAUCUACCGUUUUACCCAUUUCCUUUCUAUUUAAUCUUCGAUAAAUGCUUCUAACUUUGAACAAGUAUAAGAUCGACUGUCGUAAUCUUAUGCAUUAAGUUGUUCGUUUUCUGGGGAAAUCAAACGAAACGUGAAGUAUCGUUGUAACACUGGGGGAACAAAGUCGGACGAGUUUCUUUCACAAAAAAGUGUUUUAUUAUAAAAACUCGUAUUUGGUAAAUAAAAUUCUGUCUCCGCUUCGCGUGCAGCGUAACGUAGAUAUAUAUGUAUUUAUAAUCGCAAUAGUAAAUUACACAAUUAAC